rnacentral:snRNA from 1 species
AUACUUACCUGGCAGGGGAGACACCAUGAUCAGCCAGGUGGUUUUCCCAGGGCAAGGCUCAUCCCCUGCACUCCGGGUGUGCUGACCCCUGCAAUUUCCCCAAAUGCAGGAAACUCGACUGCAUAAUUUGUGGUAGUGGGGGACUGCGGUUUUUUAUUUUACCUGGGGGUCCCGG